rnacentral:rRNA from 1 species
GAUCAUGGCUCAGGAUGAACGCUAGCUACAGGCUUAACACAUGCAAGUCGAGGGGAAACGACAUCGAAAGCUUGCUUUUGAUGGGCGUCGACCGGCGCACGGGUGAGUAACGCGUAUCCAACCUGCCCAUCACUUGGGAAUAACCCUGCGAAAGUAAGACUAAUGCCCAAUGAUAUCCCACGAAGGCAUCCGAAUGGGAUUAAAAGAUUUAAUCGGUGAUGGAUGGGGAUGCGU